AUACGGAGGAUGCAAGCGUUAUCCGGAUUUAUUGGGUUUAAAGGGUGCGCAGGCGGCCAUUUAAGUCAGCGGUUAAAUCGUGGGGCUCAACCCCAUUCUGCCGUUGAUACUGGGUGGCUUGAUUGCGGUCGAGGUUGGCGGAAUUCGUUGUGUAGCGGUGAAAUGCAUAGAUAUGACGAAGAACACCGAUUGCGUAGGCAGCUGACCAGAUCGCAAAUGACGCUCAUGCACGAAAGUGCGGGGAUCGAACAGGAUUAGAUACCCUGGUAGUCCGCACAGUAAACGAUGAAUACUUGUUUUCGGCGAUAUAAUGUCGGAGGCAAAGCGAAAGCGAUAAGUAUUCCACCUGGGGAGUACGCCGGCAACGGUGAAACUCAAAUGAAUUGACGGGG
rnacentral:rRNA from 1 species